GACGAACGCUGGCGGCGUGCUUAACACAUGCAAGUCGAACGGAAAGGCCCUGCUUUUGUGGGGUGCUCGAGUGGCGAACGGGUGAGUAACACGUGAGUAACCUGCCCUUGACUUUGGGAUAACUUCAGGAAACUGGGGCUAAUACCGGAUAGGAGCUCCUGCUGCAUGGUGGGGGUUGGAAAGUUUCGGCGGUUGGGGAUGGACUCGCGGCUUAUCAGCUUGUUGGUGGGGUAGUGGCUUACCAAGGCUUUGACCGGUAGCCGGCCUGAGAGGGUGACCGGCCACAUUGGGACUGAGAUACGGCCCAGACUCCUACGGGAGGCAGCAGUGGGGAAUAUUGCACAAUGGGCGGAAGCCUGAUGCAGCAACGCCGCGUGCGGGAUGACGGCCUUCGGGUUGUAAACCGCUUUCGCCUGUGACGAAGCGUGAGUGACGGUAAUGGGUAAAGAAGCACCGGCUAACUACGU
rnacentral:rRNA from 1 species